rnacentral:rRNA from 1 species
GCAUCCUCGGCUUACAAGGCUCAAUUUGAAGGCCUCACCACCUCGGACCUUGUCCAUUCAGUGUGGACGAUGUGGGCUCCCCCUCGGUGCAAGUUUUUUGCUUGGCUCAUUCUUCAAGAUAGGAUUUGGACUUUGGACUGCUUGAGCCGCCGUGGUUGGCCUAAUUGCGGUCUAUGCCCUCUUUGCAAGCAAACCCUAGAAACUGCGGCUCAUCUGCUCUACCAGUGCCGCUACACCAUGCGCAUUUGGAAUGACGUCCUCCCAUGGCUCGGCAUGCAUCACAUCACCACGUCUACUUGGGUGACAAGGGCUUCGGUCAGAGAAUGGUGGAAUGCCAAUCUGCAGAUCCGUCUUGGCUCGCCCAAGGCGCUCGCCUCCCUCAUGAUGCUCAUCUCUUGGGAGGUUUGGUUGGAGCGCAAUGCUAGAGUCUUCCGCAACUCAGCGGCCCCUUCCAUGACCAUCAUCAACAAAAUCAAGCAGGAGGUAUCGCUUUGGGUUUGGCUGGAGCGAAACACUUGA